CAAUGACUAAGUUACCUAAGAUAAGCGUUCUUUGCCUUCCACACCUCUCCCCUCGCCCCCAUUUUGGCUCUAUUUUGCUGGCUGACUUCAAGACCUGAACUUUUUAUAAAGAAGGUACAUAUUGAAAGUUAUUUGUUCUGAGGCCCUUUACUCUCUCAAGGACCAGAACAUAUGUGGGCUCCCCUCAGGAGCUUUAUAAGCUUUACUUGAUGAUAUACACAUGGCAAAAGGUAGACUACUUCAGUUCCAUAAAAAAUCGUUUUUUUAGCCUGCAUUUCAGAUCUCCUGAAUAUUCCGAACUAUCUUUAAAUAAAGGCGGUAGAAAAUUGCGAUGUGAGCCAUGCAUAACAAUAAUGGAUAAAUAAUUAAUAGAAUAGGAAGCUAAUAACUCACUUGCUGAUCAAUAGAACAUAGAAAACGUCAUUGCCAAAUGGUGAAGUGAUAAAGGUUAUACAUCACUUUUUAAUGGAUAACUAAGGCUUCCGAACCCUUCCUGAGAGUCAAGACUACUUUUAGAGAUAGAAUUCUCAAAGUAACAAGGGAGUCAAGCAUUAUGAGGAAUUUAAUUAGUAAUUAGGCACAGAGACUUAUUUUAUUUACCAUAAUUUAGUUUUUAAAAUUCCUUUUCAUUCUACUCAUAUUUAUCAGCCCCCUGAGAAGAGCAAGCUGAAAUUUUGCAUUUCACUUCUGGGAUACAUGUUAAGUGUUUAGAAAACAUGAAAUCUUUUAAGUUACCAGUGAGUGAAGAUAUCUAGCUGGGUGUCAUAUACCCGAAAGAUGUUUAAUAGCUAGCUGAGAAAACAAACACACAGACAAAAUAAUUAUCUGCUAAGUAGAUGCACAAAAUGAAUAGUGUUAAGAACGGAAAAAAACACUUUUUCCCCCUGCUAGCAAAUAUAAAAAUCCCAUAUGGGUUUUUUUCUAAUCUUUUUCCAUAUAAUAAUAUUCUUUUGUCCUUAAGUCAGUGUCAUCUGGGAAAUUCUGGGGGUUGGAGGGAGCCCUACUGAGGCAAGUAUUUAAAACUAAUUACUACAAUAAAGACUAUUAAAAAGAUUUUUAUUUUUCUGAAAACAUACACAAAAACCUUGUAGAAAAAUCAACUGCAUUGUAUAGGCAUGUGGACAUCACUCAACGUUGACAAUAGUGAAACCCUAGGUGCCUAAUUAUAGAUAUUGUACACGCUGCAGAUUUUUUUAAUUUGGUAGAAUUUUGUCUACAGCAAGCAGCCAAGGUGAGAUUGUACCGUACCACCUGAAGAGAAUCUAGGCGCUUGAGAGGCCUGCAAGGACUGCAAUGGAGAGGAAGACUGGAAGUCAGCACACCUUGGGUUGGAAAGUUCUGAUUAUUUUGAUAUGUCAGCUGGACUGGGCUAAGGGAUGCCCAGAUGGCUAGCAAAACAUUAUUUCUGGGUGUGUCUGGGAGGGUGUUUCCAGAAGAGAUGAGUAUUUGAUUCAUUAGACUUGAGGAAAGAUCUGCCCUCAUUGAUGUGAGUGUAGAAUAGGAAGGGAAAAGGAAGGGCCAAUUUCUGCUCUCUCUUCCUGGGCUGGGAUGUCCCUCUUCUCCUGCCCUUGAACAGGGGUGCUCCCACUUCUCAGGCCUUUGGAUUUGGACUGAAUUAUACCACUGGCUUUCUUGAGUCUCCAGCUUGUAGAGGGAAGAUUGUGGGACACCUUGGCCACCUGUGUGAGCCAAUUAAUGCACUAAAUGAAUCAGUCAAUCAAUAACUCUAUUAGUCAGUGAUAUGUAUAUCUUCUAUGAGUUCCAUUUUCCAGGAGAACUCUAAGAUGUAAAGUUUUUGAUAAAGCUACAGUAACUGAGUUGAAUCAUCGUUUUGGUAUUUAAAGGUAUAUCAGCCACUCCUGUUUCAUUCCACUGCACAGCACUAGAUGUUUUAUAAAUGUCUGCUGAACCAAAGCAAACUCGCCUCCCUCCCUACUAGGUGCUGAGCACUGUGAAAAUGCUAAGAUAAAGGUGAUGAAGAUGUUCCUGGUAUCACUGAGUGCACAAUUGUGGAAGAGACAUAAAACUUUGGCCAAGAGUUCUCCAUCAUAAAGACUGAAAGGACCCAGUGAUACUCCAGCACCAUGGAGGCUCUGUGAAGAGGAUCCCUUUGCCUCUCUCUACGACAGACUUGUAACUCUCAGUUCCUUUCCAUCAUUUGCGAAGAAAGUCCUAGAAACUCCCUAACAGAGAGAAAAACGGUCCCACAUUUUUCUUGCCCCUUCCCGCUUCUCCAUCCUUACCUCCUGAUUCUUUAGUGUUCCAGUCACAGUGUCUGGAUGAGAAGUUUUCCAGGUAGAUAAGUAGGGGAAAGCAUUCAAGAAAGGGCAUAUUCUAUUUGGCAUAUUUAGGGAAUUGCAAAUGUCUUAAAAUUUCUGAAGUGUGUAAUGCAAGAGAGGAUGGACAACUGGGUCUUUCAGUCUUUUUCUUUUCUUUUCUUUUUAACUUUUACCAUAGAAGAAUACAGAAAUAUUUCUCCACUCCAAAAUAAAUGAAGCGCAGGUGGAAUGGUUCUCACAACGACAGUCUCCGUAACAGAGGUGGAAGGGAGGAGCGAAGAAUGUGGCCCGUGGGAGAGCCCACAUUCUCUCUAAGGCAGAUUACCUGUCCUCUGCUUCACUGACUGGUGGGGGAAAGAGGGUCUAAUGCUGUGAGAUUUUUCAUUUUUAUUUUUAAAUAGGUAACAGAUCUGGGUUUAUUUCAAAGUAAGUGUUUUAUUUCUGAACUCUUCCUUUUUCAAAAGAUUUUAUUUAUUUAUCUGAUAGAGAGAGAGGGAGAGAAAGAGAGAGAGAGAGCACAAGCAGUGGGAGUGGGAGAGGGAGAAGCAGACUCCCCGCCGAGCAGGGAGCCUGAUGCGGGGUUUAGUCCCAGGACCCUGGGAUCAUGACCUGAGCUGAAGGCAGACGCUUAACCGAUGAACCACCCAGGCGCCCCCUGAACUCUUGCUUUCUUAAAGUAUUUUAGCACAAAUUCCAAGAGAUCAAAUUCUCAGUAGACUUAGAUAAGGUUUAUAUCAUUUAAAAAAUAUUGAUUACAUGUGCUAUGGCAUAAUUUAAUUUUUUAUAAUUAAAGAAAAUAUGGGGGUUUAUAUUUAGCAUUACUUGUCAUACCCAUGAGGAGUUCCCAAUAGUAUGCAGAUGAAGAAAUCUGGACAUUUUAAAAGACUUUAAGAACAGAUAGUAUUUCUCUCUCUCUCUCUCUCUUUUUUUUUUUUUUGCUUGUUUCUAACAAUGGAAGUGGGCUAUAAGAAUAGAAAGUUAAGAAAUUUUAAUGUAAUUAUAAUUAGAUAAAGUUUUUUAUUUUUUUAAAUAAAGAUUUUAUUUGAGAGAGAGACAGAGGGAAAGCACAGAGGGAGAGUGAGAGAAGCAGACCCGUGCUGAGCAGAGAGCCUGAUGUGGGGCUCGAUCCCAGGACCCUGAGAUCAUGACCUGAGCUGAAGGCAGACGCUUAACGAACUGAGCCACCCAGGCACCUCUAGAUUAAGUUUUUUCUAUUGAAGUAUAAUUGAUGUACAAUAGCUUAUUAGUUUCAGGUGUACAUCACAGUGACUCAAUAUUUUUAUACAUUACAAAACAAUCCCCAAUAAGUCUAGUUACCAUUUGUUACAAUACAAAGUUCUUACAAUAUUGUUGACUAUAUUCCCUGUGCCGUACAUUACAUCUCACUGACUUACUUAUUUUAUGACUGGAACUUUGUACCUCUUAAUCCCCUUCAUCUGUUUUGUCCAUCCACCGCCCCCAACUUCCUCCCUCUGGUAAUCAACAGCUUGUUUACCUGUAUCUAUGAGUUUGUUUCUGUUUUGUCUUGUUUGUUCAUUUGUUUUGUUUUUUAGAUUCCAUAUAAGUGAAGUUUUUUAGAUUCCAAUAUAAGUGAAAUUAUAUGGCAUUUGUCUUUCUCUGUCUAACUUAUUUCAUUUAGCAUAAUACCCUCUAGCUCCAUCCAUGUUGUCACAAAAUAGCAAAAUUUCCUUCCUUUUUAUGGAUGAAUAAUGUU